rnacentral:ncRNA from 1 species
CCUAUCAACUGUCGAAUGGUAGGAUAGAGGCCUACCAUGGUGAUAACGGGUAACGGGGAAUUAGGGUUUCGAUUCCG